UACGAAGGGGGCUAGCGUUGCUCGGAAUCACUGGGCGUAAAGGGUGCGUAGGCGGGUUUUUAAGUCAGAGGUGAAAUCCUGGAGCUCAACUCCAGAACUGCCUUUGAUACUGAAAGUCUUGAGUAUGGGAGAGGUGAGUGGAACUGCGAGUGUAGAGGUGAAAUUCGUAGAUAUUCGCAAGAACACCAGUGGCGAAGGCGGCUCACUGGCCCAUAACUGACGCUGAGGCACGAAAGCGUGGGUAGCGAACAGG
rnacentral:rRNA from 1 species